ACGAACGUUGGCAGGCGUGGAUUAGGCAUGCAAGUCGAACGAAUCCCUUGGAGCAAUCCAGGGGGGAAGUGGCGAAAGGGGCAGUAAUGCGUGGGUAACCUACCCCCGGGUCUCGGAUAGCCUCCCUAACGGGAGGGUAAUACGGGGCGACCCGACGUCAGGGCCUCCUGGUGUCGGCAAAGAUUCAUCGCCCGGGGAGGGGCUCACGUCGUAUUACCUGGUUGGUGAGGUAACGGCUCACCAAGGGAAAGAUGCGUAGCGGGUGUGAGAGCACGACCCGCGCCACUGGCACUGAGACACUGGCCAGACUCCUACGGGAGGCUGCAGUCGAGGAUCUUCGGCAAUGGGCGCAAGCCUGACCGAGCGACGCCGCGUGUGCGAUGAAGGCCUUCGGGUUGUAAAGCACUGUCGAGGGGGAGGAAAGCCCGCAAGGGUCUGACCUAGCCCUGGAGGAAGCACGGGCUAAGUUCGUGCCAGCAGCCGCGGUAAGACGAACCGUGCGAACGUUGUUCGGAAUCACUGGGCUUAAAGGGCGCGUAGGCGGGCCGUCCAGUCGGGGGUGAAAUCGUUCGGCUUAACCGGACCCGUGCCUCCGAUACUGACGGUCUCGAGGGGGGUAGGGGCCUGCGGAACUUCCGGUGGAGCGGUGAAAUGCGUAGAUAUCGGAAGGAACGCCGGUGGCGAAAGCGGCGGGCUGGACCCCUUCUGACGCUGAGGCGCGAAAGCCAGGGGAGCGAACGGGAUUAGAUACCCCGGUAGUCCUGGCCCUAAACGAUGGGCACUAGGUUGUGGGCUUGACAUGGGCUCACAGCCGAAGCAAAAGUGGUAAGUGCCCCGCCUGGGAAGUAUGGUCGCAAGGCUGAAACUCAAAGGAAUUGACGGGGGCUCACACAAGCGGUGGAGCAUGUGACUUAAUUCGAGGCUACGCGAAGAACCUUAUCCUGGGCUUGACAUGUGCGAAAGCGGCGGGAAGUAGGGUGCGGAAACGUUCCCCCAAUGGUAUCCAGUCCGGAACCCGCUACAGGUGCUGCAUGGCUGUCGUCAGCUCGUGUCGUGAGAUGUCGGGUUAAGUCCCAUAACGAGCGAAACCCCUGUCCUUAGUUGCCAGCAGUUCGGCUGGGGACUCUAGGGAGACUGCCGGUGUUAAACCGGAGGAAGGUGGGGAUGACGUCAAGUCCUCAUGGCCUUUAUGCCCAGGGCUGCACACGUGCUACAAUGGUCGGUACAGAGGGACGCCAACGCGCAAGCGGGAGCCAAUCCCAAAAAACCGGCCCCAGUUCAGAUCGAAGGCUGCAACCCGCCUUCGUGAAGUUGGAAUCGCUAGUAAUCGCGGGUCAGCAACACCGCGGUGAAUGUGUUCCUGAGCCUUGUACACACCGCCCGUCAAGCCACGAAAGGGGGGAGAGCCCGAAGACGCCGCACCAAGUCGGCGGCUACGGUUAUACCCCUGAUUGGGACUAAGUCGUAA
rnacentral:rRNA from 1 species